AUGGUUGCUUGAGCAUUCUAUUAUUGUAAUAUUUAAAAUUCUUGAAGACUUUUUGAAAUUUUCUGAAAUUUGAAAAUGAAAUUUCACAUACAUAAGUACGAAUGUUCAUAACACUAAGAGUUCCUCUAUGAAUUGUUGAUAGCAUUAUCAUAUGAUUUAUCAGCUUAUUCUAAUUUGUUUUAAAUUAUUUGUGGAGAUGAUUCUACUUUUGCAAUCAAAUCAUUUCAGUAAUUUGCAUAGUUAUUUGAUUAUUUCAAUCACAUCAUUAUGCAAAUUAUUAGAUAAGUUUUGCCUUUAUUUCAUAUCACAUUAUUAAUAAGAGCAGUUGUACUUAUAAAUAGGAUAUAGUUUUAAACAGUGAUAAAUUGAAAAGGAAAAUUAUGAUUGUUAAUAAUUUUUAAAGGAAUCUCUUAAGUACUCAUAGUUCUUUAUUGCUUUCUUACUACUAUCUUUAUCAUCCAGAAUUAAAAAAAUGGUAUAUUUUAUAUAAUUUAGUUUUUCAGUCUUUUACUAUUAGUUGCUUUUUGUUUACUGCCGUAUUAUAUAAAAAAUUUGUUUGUCUUUACUUGUUUAAAAACAUUUUUUUAAAAAUAUUAUUUAUCAAAUAAUAAAUAAAAUAGUACUGUUAUCCAAAUAAUGGCAGCAAAAGUUAACAUAUGAAAAAUAAAAGGUCAGCAGUAACUUGCAUACUAUUUUUUAUUCAUCAUUCAGUUUAAUAACAAUAAUAUCUUCAGCUUUAUAUCAAGCCCUCUUCAAUUGCUUAUAUUUUAAAAAAUGAAAGAACAUUGAAUACAAAUUCCACUAAGAAUUCAGAUCAAAAAUUUAUGCAUUGGCAUAAUUCCACAAUAUUGUUAAUAGCUUACAUUACAUAAUAUAAAAAUACAAUUUAUGUUAAUACAAUGAAUUUAAAAAUAUCAAAAAAAUAUAUAAGCAAAUACGCUGAUAAAGUUAAUCCGUUUCUUCUGUUCAUAUGUUGUACACAAGUUGUUGCUACUAUUCCUGCAUUGUUUAUUAUUAGUUUAAAGCUAUAUUCUCUAUUUUUGUAUUUCAAUUUUUGCUUUUGGCACCACUUCCAAGCUAUGCUUAUGGCCAAUAGAUUUGUUUAUUGAUGAUGAUAUUCUGCUUUUAACUUUCCUUCAUAAAAUCAUUGUUUCUUCCAUAACUUUUCUCUGUCAAGGUUCUUCUAUUCUUUUUAACAAUUUCAUAUCUUGUCACUUUAUAUCUACAUUAUGAGCAAUUGCUCUCUAAGAAAGGGCUCUUUCUGUGUUUUUGCUAUAACAUCUUCCAUAUGCUCCUUUAAAUAUAUUAAAAACAGUGGUGGAACUUAAAAUUUUUGGCCCUCCCCUAUAAAAUAAUAAUCAGGCUUCUACAACAAAAAAAAUUUUUCAUCAAAAUAUUUUUAUUAGAAAAUAACAAAAACGAACAGAAUUGCAUCAUUUAAAACACAAUU
rnacentral:lncRNA from 1 species